rnacentral:tRNA from 1 species
GUGGGGUGGCUCAGUGGUUGAGAGCACUUGCCAUUCUUCCAAAGGACCUGGGUUUGAUUCCCAGCACACACA